GCUUGCUUCUUUGCUGACGAGUGGCGGACGGGUGAGUAAUGUCUGGGAAACUGCCUGAUGGAGGGGGAUAACUACUGGAAACGGUAGCUAAUACCGCAUAACGUCGCAAGACCAAAGAGGGGGACCUUCGGGCCUCUUGCCAUCGGAUGUGCCCAGAUGGGAUUAGCUGUGGUGGGGUAACGGCUCACCUAGGCGACGAUCCCUAGCUGGUCUGAGAGGAUGACCAGCCACACUGGAACUGAGACACGGUCCAGACUCCUACGGGAGGCAGCAGUGGGGAAUAUUGCACAAUGGGCGCAAGCCUGAUGCAGCCAUGCCGCGUGUAUGAAGAAGGCCUUCGGGUUGUAAAGUACUUUCAGCGGGGAGGAAGGGAGUAAAGUUAAUACCUUUGCUCAUUGACGUUACCCGCAGAAGAAGCACCGGCUAACUCCGUGCCAGCAGCCGCGGUAAUACGGAGGGUGCAAGCGUUAAUCGGAAUUACUGGGCGUAAAGCGCACGCAGGCGGUUUGUUAAGUCAGAUGUGAAAUCCCCGGGCUCAACCUGGGAACUGCAUCUGAUACUGGCAAGCUUGAGUCUCGUAGAGGGGGGUAGAAUUCCAGGUGUACGCGGUGAAAUGCGUAGAGAUCUGGAGGAAUACCCGGUGGCGAAGGCGGCCCCCUGACGAAGA
rnacentral:rRNA from 1 species